CUGCUUCCUUCAGUAUGAAGGGUGAGGAAGACAGAGAAAGCCAGAUAGAGAGAAAGAGAGAGGACAUGAGCCCAAGAUGGAAGCCAUGUCUUCAUAACCCAGUAUCAGAAGAGCCAUUCCAUUGCUGCUGCUGUAUUUUCAGGAGCCGUGAGUCGGACAUUCAGCCAACAGAACUUGGCCUCAGGUCCAUCUGUGACUUAGACUGGGGUGUUCUUGAGGGCAGGGCGUGUGAAGUAGUCCUCUCUGCCUGCCUGUUUAUGUUUCUGGGUGUCUACCAUCCCCUAGACCCCUGUGCACACGAUCUGUCUGCGCAUCAGGUCCCGGCGAUAUGGAAGAGCCUGCAGCCGCCGGAAGCCCAUUGGUGCCUACCGGUGGUGCAGGUGGCAGCUUCGUGCGGGAGGACCCUGGCCGGAGAGGCCCAUCAGGCGCCGGGGUUUAGGGUCCUGGGGACCACACCGUCUGCUCCUGGCAUUCUCCGGGGCCAGCGCCUGGGAUGGAAAGUGUGUGCGUAGACCGUGCACCCAGGAGGACGCGGCUGCCUGCCUCCUUCCUGUCCUCUUCCUCAUUCUAGAAACCGAGCUGGCCUCUUCCCUGUAUGACAUCCCAGUUCUUUGCUUAUAAGGCAGACAUGGUAAUGUGGUCAAGGAGAAGAAUGGGCUUUAAAAGCAAAACAAAAGAAAACAAAACCGGGAAAAAUGAGAAGGGGUCCUGAGAUGCUUAAACCCAUGAUACAAGCUAAUACUCACCAAGCACUUACAUGUGCCAGAUGAACGAAAGCGGGUACUUGAUAUGCACAAUCUGGUUUAACCCUGAAGCCACCCUUCUGAACCAGCUAUCACUCUUCUUGUUAAUUAGGAUUGUUACCAGUGCUAUGUUACAAGCCAGGAGAAUGAGAGCUAAUGAGUUGGGGUGCUUUGCCCAACACCCUCCUAGCUGAACCAGGACUCAAAUGCACGUCUUUCUGAAGUUAAAGAUGACAGUUCUGGCCACUAAGCUCUCCUGUCUCAUCACAGGUUUCCAAACUCUCUGGGGCUUUUUGUCAGAUGCCACUUCAGGGAUCCCCAAAGUUUAAUUCACCCCACAGCACAGGGCAGCAAGCCCUUGGUUCUGCCUCUGCUUUAUCGUCCAGUGGGUGCAGAAGGCAAGAAACUGAGAUCCAGAGAGCUAAACUCGACUUUGCAACAGGAAUUAGCAGCGGAGCUUAAAGUUGAGCAGGAGGCAAGCUGGCAACCCGUGUCUCCACUCUCCUCUGCCCUCCCAGGAUGGCUGCAUUCUUUGACAUGAGACAGAGAUUUUCGACCUCUGGGGCCCAGCGGAAGCAUCUGCAGAAACUUUAGAAAAGUCUGUAUUUGCUUGCUCGGGCAGCCACUACAAAGCACCACACACAUUCUGUUUAAACAUCAGAAAUGUUUCUCCUUAUAGCUCUGGAGGCUGGAAGUUCGAGAUCAAGGUAUUGGCAGGGUUGUUUUCUCAGGAGGUCCGUUAGGGGUGGUAGAUAACGGUCUUCUCUUUGGGUCUUCCCACAGCCUUCCCUCUGAGCCUGUGUCCUGACCUCCUCUUCCUAUAAGGACACUGGUCGCGUUGGAUCAGAUCCCACUCUAGAGACCUCCUUUUACCUUAAUUAUGUCAUUGAAGACCCCAUUUCCAAAGACAGUCACAUUCUGAGAUCCCUAGGGAUUAGGACUUGAACAUACGAACUUUGGGGUGACACAGUUCAACUCUUAACACUUUUCCCUCUGCCCCGCCCUUUAAUUCGCGUCCUACCCACAUGCAGACUAAUACAUUCACCCUGUCCUCAAAGCGCUCAGAGGCUUAAUCCAUCCUGGCUUCAACUGGAAGUCCGAAAUCUUGGCUAAAUACCAUGUAAAGAUAGAGUUGGCGUUCAAGUUAGGAUUCAUCCUGAGGUAAAAUUCCUCUCUAGCUGUAAGCCCGUGAAAUCAGAGAAUUAUUUGUUUCCAAAACACAAGAGUGAGACAGGCAAUAGAGAGACGUCUCCUACCAGAAUGGUUCCAUCAGAAAGAAGAAAGGGGUUACGGGUCUCAAGCAGGUCAAAAGCCUAGCAGAGAAAAAUUCCCUUUGAUUUUAGGGUGGAGAAAAAUCCCCUUUGGUUCCAUGUUCUGUGCUGUGGGCCCACCAGUUGUCUCCUGGUUCCCAGUUAGGAGCUUCUGUGAUGGUGUCUAGCGGUGUCCCACCAUUAUCCUGACCCGGGCGCCUGAAACUCCGUGUACCACCAGCACGUCCCAGGUGUAUGGCAGCCCCACAGCCCUAAGAGGGAAGCUCGUAAGUCCCAGGAAGGUCACCUUUCCUGGCCCCCCAUCCUUGGAAGGAAUUCAAGGAGAGAAAAGCGCUUGUCCUCAUCUUCUGUGUGUUCCCGUCACCGGCACCAUGUCUGUCACACCAUACACUCGAGAAAUAUUUGUUGGGGAUGAGUGAUUGUAGGGAAGCUGUGAUCCCUCCCUGAAAAGACAAACCAAUUAAAUUUCAAAAUCACCUCAGAGAGGCACCAAAUGGCAGGAUCCCAAGGAUCGCGGCCCCUCCGUGGAGCCCCUGGAAACUUCUUUCCAUUCUGAAUAGACCUCCUUUGCUUUGCCUCGCAGAAAGGGCUCCUUUCAGCCAGUAAUUAGUGUUCGUAAGUGGAAGCUACUUAAGAAAGAACACAAAGCCUCCGAAAGUUGUAUUAUGCCAUUUAUAAGUGUCCGGUGAUCCGCGGCCGUGCUGUGAUU